UACGUAGGGUGCAAGCGUUAAUCGGAAUUACUGGGCGUAAAGCGUGCGCAGGCGGCUUUGCAAGACAGAUGUGAAAUCCCCGGGCUCAACCUGGGAACUGCAUUUGUGACUGCAUGGCUAGAGUGCGGCAGAGGGGGAUGGAAUUCCGCGUGUAGCAGUGAAAUGCGUAGAUAUGCGGAGGAACACCGAUGGCGAAGGCAAUCCCCUGGGCCUGCACUGACGCUCAUGCACGAAAGCGUGGGGAUCAAACAGG
rnacentral:rRNA from 1 species